rnacentral:rRNA from 1 species
GGGUUGUGAGGUUAAGCGACUAAGCGUACACGGUGGAUGCCCUGGCAGUCAGAGGCGAUGAAGGACGUGCUAAUCUGCGAUAAGCGUCGGUGAGGUGAUAUGAACCGUUAUAACCGGCGAUUUCCGAAUGGGGAAACCCAGUGUGUUUCGACACACUAUCAUUAACUGAAUCCAUAGGUUAAUGAGGCGAACCGGGGGAACUGAAACAUCUAAGUACCCCGAGGAAAAGAAAUCAACCGAGAUUCCCCCAGUAGCGGCGAGCGAACGGGGAGGAGCCCAGAGCCUGAAUCAGUGUGUGUGUUAGUGGAAGCGUCUGGAAAGGCGCGCGAUACAGGGUGACAGCCCCGUACACAAAAAUGCACAUGCUGUGAGCUCGAUGAGUAGGGCGGGACACGUGGUAUCCUGUCUGAAUAUGGGGGACCAUCCUCCAAGGCUAAAUACUCCUGACUGACCGAUAGUGAACCAGUACCGUGAGGGAAAGGCGAAAAGAACCCCGGCGAGGGGAGUGAAAAAGAACCUGAAACCGUGUACGUACAAGCAGUGGGAGCCUCUUAAUGGGGUGACUGCGUACCUUUUGUAUAAUGGGUCAGCGACUUAUAUUCUGUAGCAAGGUUAACCGAAUAGGGGAGCCGAAGGGAAACCGAGUCUUAACUGGGCGUUAAGUUGCAGGGUAUAGACCCGAAACCCGGUGAUCUAGCCAUGGGCAGGUUGAAGGUUGGGUAACACUAACUGGAGGACCGAACCGACUAAUGUUGAAAAAUUAGCGGAUGACUUGUGGCUGGGGGUGAAAGGCCAAUCAAACCGGGAGAUAGCUGGUUCUCCCCGAAAGCUAUUUAGGUAGCGCCUCGUGAAUUCAUCUCCGGGGGUAGAGCACUGUUUCGGCAAGGGGGUCAUCCCGACUUACCAACCCGAUGCAAACUGCGAAUACCGGAGAAUGUUAUCACGGGAGACACACGGCGGGUGCUAACGUCCGUCGUGAAGAGGGAAACAACCCAGACCGCCAGCUAAGGUCCCAAAGUCAUGGUUAAGUGGGAAACGAUGUGGGAAGGCCCAGACAGCCAGGAUGUUGGCUUAGAAGCAGCCAUCAUUUAAAGAAAGCGUAAUAGCUCACUGGUCGAGUCGGCCUGCGCGGAAGAUGUAACGGGGCUAAACCAUGCACCGAAGCUGCGGCAGCGACACUAUGUGUUGUUGGGUAGGGGAGCGUUCUGUAAGCCUGUGAAGGUGGCCUGUGAGGGUUGCUGGAGGUAUCAGAAGUGCGAAUGCUGACAUAAGUAACGAUAAAGCGGGUGAAAAGCCCGCUCGCCGGAAGACCAAGGGUUCCUGUCCAACGUUAAUCGGGGCAGGGUGAGUCGACCCCUAAGGCGAGGCCGAAAGGCGUAGUCGAUGGGAAACAGGUUAAUAUUCCUGUACUUGGUGUUACUGCGAAGGGGGGACGGAGAAGGCUAUGUUGGCCGGGCGACGGUUGUCCCGGUUUAAGCGUGUAGGCUGGUUUUCCAGGCAAAUCCGGAAAACCAAGGCUGAGGCGUGAUGACGAGGCACUACGGUGCUGAAGUGACAAAUGCCCUGCUUCCAGGAAAAGCCUCUAAGCAUCAGGUAACAUCAAAUCGUACCCCAAACCGACACAGGUGGUCAGGUAGAGAAUACCAAGGCGCUUGAGAGAACUCGGGUGAAGGAACUAGGCAAAAUGGUGCCGUAACUUCGGGAGAAGGCACGCUGAUAUGUAGGUGAAGCGACUUGCUCGUGGAGCUGAAAUCAGUCGAAGAUACCAGCUGGCUGCAACUGUUUAUUAAAAACACAGCACUGUGCAAACACGAAAGUGGACGUAUACGGUGUGACGCCUGCCCGGUGCCGGAAGGUUAAUUGAUGGGGUUAGCGGUAACGCGAAGCUCUUGAUCGAAGCCCCGGUAAACGGCGGCCGUAACUAUAACGGUCCUAAGGUAGCGAAAUUCCUUGUCGGGUAAGUUCCGACCUGCACGAAUGGCGUAAUGAUGGCCAGGCUGUCUCCACCCGAGACUCAGUGAAAUUGAACUCGCUGUGAAGAUGCAGUGUACCCGCGGCAAGACGGAAAGACCCCGUGAACCUUUACUAUAGCUUGACACUGAACAUUGAGCCUUGAUGUGUAGGAUAGGUGGGAGGCUUUGAAGUGUGGACGCCAGUCUGCAUGGAGCCGACCUUGAAAUACCACCCUUUAAUGUUUGAUGUUCUAACGUUGGCCCCUAAUCGGGGUUGCGGACAGUGUCUGGUGGGUAGUUUGACUGGGGCGGUCUCCUCCUAAAGAGUAACGGAGGAGCACGAAGGUUGGCUAAUCCUGGUCGGACAUCAGGAGGUUAGUGCAAUGGCAUAAGCCAGCUUGACUGCGAGCGUGACGGCGCGAGCAGGUGCGAAAGCAGGUCAUAGUGAUCCGGUGGUUCUGAAUGGAAGGGCCAUCGCUCAACGGAUAAAAGGUACUCCGGGGAUAACAGGCUGAUACCGCCCAAGAGUUCAUAUCGACGGCGGUGUUUGGCACCUCGAUGUCGGCUCAUCACAUCCUGGGGCUGAAGUAGGUCCCAAGGGUAUGGCUGUUCGCCAUUUAAAGUGGUACGCGAGCUGGGUUUAGAACGUCGUGAGACAGUUCGGUCCCUAUCUGCCGUGGGCGCUGGAGAACUGAGGGGGGCUGCUCCUAGUACGAGAGGACCGGAGUGGACGCAUCACUGGUGUUCGGGUUGUCAUGCCAAUGGCACUGCUCGGUAGCUAAAUGCGGAAGAGAUAAGUGCUGAAAGCAUCUAAGCACGAAACUUGCCCCGAGAUGAGUUCUCCCUGAGACUUAGAGUCUCCUGAAGGAACGUUGAAGACGACGACGUUGAUAGGCCGGGUGUGUAAGCGCAGCGAUGCGUUGAGCUAACCGGUACUAAUGAACCGUGAGGCUUAACCUUACAACGCCGAAG